GAAUACAUACGGGAGGUGGUGAAGAGCUCGCCGUCUAUAUGAAUAAAGAUAUCUUACCAAAUGAGUGGGGCGGUAAAGCCGGCACCUUUGACGAGCUAAAUGACGCCUGGAGAACGAAAAUCGAGAGGAACCGCGACUGGCUCUUGAAAGAAGAGAAACUCAGCAGAACAAAUGAAAAAGUCAGACUAACAACAUCAUCGUCAUCCCUCAAUGCCGAGUUAGGGGGUAUUCAGGGAUCCUUCAGACAGUUGAAUAUUGAUUAAGGGGGACCAUGAAAUUUUUCCGAUUCCAAAUGCAUGGAACAUAUGGGGACUUUUUCAAUUCUACUGUAGGAACAUUAUGAGGACAUAUGUCACGUAUGGGGACAUCCAGAUCACACAAUAUGGACCCUAUGAGGACUCAAAUUUAUGGAUAUUGCAAUGAUAGGCACAUUUAAAUAUUGUUCUAUAUAAAUGUCGAUUCAAAUAAAAAAUACUUCAUCAUUCAA